rnacentral:rRNA from 1 species
GGGUUGUGAGGUUAAGCGACUAAGCGUACACGGUGGAUGCCCUGGCAGUCAGAGGCGAUGAAGGACGUGCUAAUCUGCGAUAAGCGUCGGUAAGGUGAUAUGAACCGUUAUAACCGGCGAUUUCCGAAUGGGGAAACCCAGUGUGUUUCGACACACUAUCAUUAACUGAAUCCAUAGGUUAAUGAGGCGAACCGGGGGAACUGAAACAUCUAAGUACCCCGAGGAAAAGAAAUCAACCGAGAUUCCCCCAGUAGCGGCGAGCGAACGGGGAGCAGCCCAGAGUCUGAAUCAGUGUGUGUGUUAGUGGAAGCGUCUGGAAAGGCGCGCGAUACAGGGUGACAGCCCCGUACACAAAAAUGCACAUAUUGUGAGCUCGAUGAGUAGGGCGGGACACGUGGUAUCCUGUCUGAAUAUGGGGGGACCAUCCUCCAAGGCUAAAUACUCCUGACUGACCGAUAGUGAACCAGUACCGUGAGGGAAAGGCGAAAAGAACCCCGGCGAGGGGAGUGAAAAAGAACCUGAAACCGUGUACGUACAAGCAGUGGGAGCACGCUUAGGCGUGUGACUGCGUACCUUUUGUAUAAUGGGUCAGCGACUUAUAUUCUGUAGCAAGGUUAACCGAAUAGGGGAGCCGAAGGGAAACCGAGUCUUAACUGGGCGUUAAGUUGCAGGGUAUAGACCCGAAACCCGGUGAUCUAGCCAUGGGCAGGUUGAAGGUUGGGUAACACUAACUGGAGGACCGAACCGACUAAUGUUGAAAAAUUAGCGGAUGACUUGUGGCUGGGGGUGAAAGGCCAAUCAAACCGGGAGAUAGCUGGUUCUCCCCGAAAGCUAUUUAGGUAGCGCCUCGUGAAUUCAUCUCCGGGGGUAGAGCACUGUUUCGGCAAGGGGGUCAUCCCGACUUACCAACCCGAUGCAAACUGCGAAUACCGGAGAAUGUUAUCACGGGAGACACACGGCGGGUGCUAACGUCCGUCGUGAAGAGGGAAACAACCCAGACCGCCAGCUAAGGUCCCAAAGUCAUGGUUAAGUGGGAAACGAUGUGGGAAGGCCCAGACAGCCAGGAUGUUGGCUUAGAAGCAGCCAUCAUUUAAAGAAAGCGUAAUAGCUCACUGGUCGAGUCGGCCUGCGCGGAAGAUGUAACGGGGCUAAACCAUGCACCGAAGCUGCGGCAGCGACGCUUAUGCGUUGUUGGGUAGGGGAGCGUUCUGUAAGCCUGUGAAGGUGUGCUGUGAGGCAUGCUGGAGGUAUCAGAAGUGCGAAUGCUGACAUAAGUAACGAUAAAGCGGGUGAAAAGCCCGCUCGCCGGAAGACCAAGGGUUCCUGUCCAACGUUAAUCGGGGCAGGGUGAGUCGACCCCUAAGGCGAGGCCGAAAGGCGUAGUCGAUGGGAAACAGGUUAAUAUUCCUGUACUUGGUGUUACUGCGAAGGGGGGACGGAGAAGGCUAUGUUGGCCGGGCGACGGUUGUCCCGGUUUAAGCGUGUAGGCUGGUUUUCCAGGCAAAUCCGGAAAAUCAAGGCUGAGGCGUGAUGACGAGGCACUACGGUGCUGAAGCAACAAAUGCCCUGCUUCCAGGAAAAGCCUCUAAGCAUCAGGUAACAUCAAAUCGUACCCCAAACCGACACAGGUGGUCAGGUAGAGAAUACCAAGGCGCUUGAGAGAACUCGGGUGAAGGAACUAGGCAAAAUGGUGCCGUAACUUCGGGAGAAGGCACGCUGAUAUGUAGGUGAAGCGACUUGCUCGUGGAGCUGAAAUCAGUCGAAGAUACCAGCUGGCUGCAACUGUUUAUUAAAAACACAGCACUGUGCAAACACGAAAGUGGACGUAUACGGUGUGACGCCUGCCCGGUGCCGGAAGGUUAAUUGAUGGGGUCAGCGCAAGCGAAGCUCUUGAUCGAAGCCCCGGUAAACGGCGGCCGUAACUAUAACGGUCCUAAGGUAGCGAAAUUCCUUGUCGGGUAAGUUCCGACCUGCACGAAUGGCGUAAUGAUGGCCAGGCUGUCUCCACCCGAGACUCAGUGAAAUUGAACUCGCUGUGAAGAUGCAGUGUACCCGCGGCAAGACGGAAAGACCCCGUGAACCUUUACUAUAGCUUGACACUGAACAUUGAGCCUUGAUGUGUAGGAUAGGUGGGAGGCUUUGAAGUGUGGACGCCAGUCUGCAUGGAGCCGACCUUGAAAUACCACCCUUUAAUGUUUGAUGUUCUAACGUUGACCCGUAAUCCGGGUUGCGGACAGUGUCUGGUGGGUAGUUUGACUGGGGCGGUCUCCUCCUAAAGAGUAACGGAGGAGCACGAAGGUUGGCUAAUCCUGGUCGGACAUCAGGAGGUUAGUGCAAUGGCAUAAGCCAGCUUGACUGCGAGCGUGACGGCGCGAGCAGGUGCGAAAGCAGGUCAUAGUGAUCCGGUGGUUCUGAAUGGAAGGGCCAUCGCUCAACGGAUAAAAGGUACUCCGGGGAUAACAGGCUGAUACCGCCCAAGAGUUCAUAUCGACGGCGGUGUUUGGCACCUCGAUGUCGGCUCAUCACAUCCUGGGGCUGAAGUAGGUCCCAAGGGUAUGGCUGUUCGCCAUUUAAAGUGGUACGCGAGCUGGGUUUAGAACGUCGUGAGACAGUUCGGUCCCUAUCUGCCGUGGGCGCUGGAGAACUGAGGGGGGCUGCUCCUAGUACGAGAGGACCGGAGUGGACGCAUCACUGGUGUUCGGGUUGUCAUGCCAAUGGCACUGCCCGGUAGCUAAAUGCGGAAGAGAUAAGUGCUGAAAGCAUCUAAGCACGAAACUUGCCCCGAGAUGAGUUCUCCCUGACUCCUUGAGAGUCCUGAAGGAACGUUGAAGACGACGACGUUGAUAGGCCGGGUGUGUAAGCGCAGUGAUGCGUUGAGCUAACCGGUACUAAUGAACCGUGAGGCUUAACCUUACAACGCCGAAGGUGUUU